UAGUAGUGCUGUGGCAAGGUCUGAAAC
rnacentral:sRNA from 1 species